rnacentral:lncRNA from 1 species
GCAAGACGGAGAUCACAGACCUGAGACGCACGAUGCAGGAGCUGGAGAUCGAGCUGCAGUCCCAGCUCAGCAUGAAAGCUGGGCUGGAGAACUCACUGGCCGAGACAGAGUGCCGCUAUGCCACGCAGCUGCAGCAGAUCCAGGGGCUCAUUGGUGGCCUGGAGGCCCAGCUGAGUGAGCUCCGAUGCGAGAUGGAGGCUCAGAACCAGGAGUACAAGAUGCUGCUUGACAUAAAGACACGGCUGGAGCAGGAGAUCGCUACUUACCGCAGCCUGCUCGAGGGCCAGGAUGCCAAGUAGGCGCCUGGGCACAGGGGAAGGACCUACUCCUUCUCUCUCUAGCCUCUUCAGGAGGUGGUGGUAGCAGCAGCAAUUUCCACAUCAAUGUAGAAGAGUCAGUGGAUGGACAGGUGGUUUCUUCCCACAAGAGAGAAAUCUAAGUGUCUAUUGCAGGAGAAACGUCCCUUGCCACUCCCCACUCUCAUCAGGCCAAGUGGAGGACUGGCCAGAGGGCCUGCACAUGCAAACUCCAGUCCCUGCCUUCAGAGAGCUGAAAAGGGUCCCUCGGUCUUUUAUUUCAGGGCUUUGCAUGCGCUCUAUUCCCCCUCUGCCUCUCCCCACCUUCUUUGGAGCAAGGAGAUGCAGCUGUAUUGUGUAACAAGCUCAUUUGUACAGUGUCUGUUCAUGUAAUAAAGAAUUACUUUU